rnacentral:rRNA from 1 species
UACAGAGGUCUCAAGCGUUGUUCGGAUUCAUUGGGCGUAAAGGGUGUGUAGGUGGCGCCGUAAGUCGGGUGUGAAAUUUCGGAGCUUAACUCCGAAACUGCAUUCGAUACUGCCGUGCUUGAGGACUGGAGAGGAGACUGGAAUUUACGGUGUAGCGGUGAAAUGCGUAGAUAUCGUAAGGAAGACCAGUGGCGAAGGCGGGUCUCUGGGCCGACAUUGACGCUGAGGAGCGAAAGCGUGGGGAGCGAACAGG